rnacentral:lncRNA from 1 species
GAAAAAGGAGAAUGAGAAGGUGAAGACCGAAGUCGGAAAAGAGGUGGCCGCGGCCCGGCGGAAGCAGCACCUCUCCUCCCUUCAGUACUACUGUGCCCUCAACGCGCUGCAGUACAGAAAGCAAAUGGCCAUGAUGGAGCCCAUGAUAGGCUUUGCCCAUGGACAGAUUAACUUUUUUAAGAAGGGAGCAGAGAUGUUUUCCAAACGUAUGGACAGCUUUUUAUCCUCCGUUGCAGACAUGGUUCAAAGGUAAUGCUGCACUCCGGCCGGGUCUUGUGUGCCCCUUGCCUUUCAUGCUGAUCUGACAUCUCUGGGAGGUCACGGGGAGGGUUCUAACUGUGGAGGGUCGCACAGAGCCUCUGUCCACCCCAGAAAUGCUCGCUAACAGUGCCCUUGCCUUAGCUGCCAAUAUUCAUAAAUAUCUGGGGCACAUUGGCAGAGUUUUCUCCAGAUCUCUUGUUGUGAAUAUUGGAGUUUCACAUGUCACAAGCCUGGGAACCCAGCUUAGCUUUGCUGUGGUUUUAGAAGA